UGCAAUUGUUUGCUUACCUGUACCCUCUAACCUACUCCUUGCCCCUCCUAGCUGUACAUUUCUACAAAUACCUGUGUCUAUUUCUAUUCCAUCGGGCCCAAUUCCACAAGGCAACUGGAACAUAACCACUUUAUUUCCACUAAGCAGUCUUUUGUGUUCGCCUUUGAUUAAUUAUUACACUAUUACAAUUACACUUUGAUUAAUUAUUCCUUCACUUUCUUUCAGUUUUUG